rnacentral:rRNA from 1 species
GAUGAACGCUGGCGGCGUGCCUAAUACAUGCAAGUCGAACGAUGAAGGAGAGCUUGCUCUCCGGAUUAGUGGCGAACGGGUGAGUAACACGUGACUAACCUGCCCCUUUCUCUGGGAUAACGCUCCGAAAGGAGUGCUAAUACCGGAUACGAACUCUGAACACAUGUUCGGAGUUGGAAAGUUUUUCGGAAAGGGAUGGAGUCGCGGCCUAUCAGCUUGUUGGUGAGGUAACGGCUCACCAAGGCGACGACGGGUAGCCGGCCUGAGAGGGCGACCGGCCACACUGGGACUGAGACACGGCCCAGACGCCUACGGGAGGCAGCAGUGGGGAAUAUUGCACAAUGGGCGAAAGCCUGAUGCAGCGACGCCGCGUGAGGGGUGAAGGUCUUCGGAUUGUAAACCUCUUUCAGUAGGGACGAAGCGAAAGUGACGGUACCUAAAGAAGAAGCACCGGCUAACUACGUGCCAGCCGCCGCUGUAA